AUGAACGCUGGCGGCGUGCCUAAUACAUGCAAGUCGAGCGAACAGAUGAGGAGCUUGCUCCUCUGACGUUAGCGGCGGACGGGUGAGUAACACGUGGAUAACCUACCUAUAAGACUGGGAUAACUUCGGGAAACCGGAGCUAAUACCGGAUAAUAUAUUGAACCGCAUGGUUCAAUAGUGAAAGACGGUUUUGCUGUCACUUAUAGAUGGAUCCGCGCCGCAUUAGCUAGUUGGUAAGGUAACGGCUUACCAAGGCAACGAUGCGUAGCCGACCUGAGAGGGUGAUCGGCCACACUGGAACUGAGACACGGUCCAGACUCCUACGGGAGGCAGCAGUAGGGAAUCUUCCGUAAUGGGCGAAAGCCUGACGGAGCAACGCCGCGUGAGUGAUGAAGGUCUUCGGAUCGUAAAACUCUGUUAUUAGGGAAGAACAAAUGUGUAAGUAACUAUGCACGUCUUGACGGUACCUAAUCAGAAAGCCACGGCUAACUACGUG
rnacentral:rRNA from 1 species